GGCGCAGAGAUGACAGGAGCUAGCGGCGCAGGGGGUCGAGGAAGAGAGUGAGGAGGUAGUGUGAAUCAGCUCCUAAAACUCCCUUCUGCGUGAUCAUGUAAGUCCGUCACAUCCCUGUGCUCUACACCACUGAUUUAAUCAAAGUUACAACCUUCCACUGUACGGUGACCAUCUAGAAAAACCUUCAAGUUUAAAUAACCUCACAUGUAGAUGACCCUAGAGUUAAAAAUACCCUAUAUUGUUGAAGGAACCCUGCAGUUCAACGAACGUUAUUCACCACUGAAGGAACAUUGCAGUUCAACGACCCUCACCACUGAAGGAACCUUGCAAUUCAAUGACCCUCUCCACUGAAAGAACCUUGCAGUUCAGCGUCCCUCUCCACUGAAGGAACCUUGCAGUUCAACGACCCUCUCCACAGAAAGAACUUUGCAGUUCAACGAGCCUCACUCACCACUACAACCAUCAACAAUAAUAAUUAUCUCUGGGAAACUAUAGCAUUUUCUGUUUGAACUUUUUUGGGUAGUAGCCACGUAUACAAGUGUCGACGUACUUUCAGGCAGUCAUACAUCUGGUUUAUACAAACGUGGCUGUUAUUGGAGCUGUGUCAAAAUUUCGGACAGAAUCUCGACUUUAAGUAGAAUUAUAAUGAGGAUAUCAAGAAAGAGGUGAAGUUUUAUCUUGGUGAAGCUCACUCAGUGGGCUUUAUGGAGUUCCGAGAAGCUGGAGCACACAGCUUUAGUGGAUGGAUUAAUGAGCGUCAACCACUCCUUCUGCUGGUGGAUCCACACGGUUUUAUUGCUUCUUCUUUCUUUUUAAUACAAUAUUUAUACCAUGUUGGACGACCUCUUUCUGCUGAAGCAGUGUUGCUUGGUCUGACUGCCUCCUCUGGGGAAAAAAAUGUAUAUCUUACUGAGGGAAUUAGAGUGAACAAAUGAAAGAUUUAGCAUUGUUUGGAGAUCACUGGGCCACCAUAAUAGAAGGCACUGUGCCACCAUAAUGGAAGACACUGUGCCAACAUAAUGGAAGGCACUGUGCUAACAUAAUGGAAGGCACUGUGCCACCAUAAUGAAAGGCACUGUGUCAACAUAAUGAAAGACACUGUGCCAACAUAAUGGAAGGCACUGUGCCAAAAUAAUAGAAGGCACUGUGCCAACAUAAUGAAAGGCACUGUGCCAUCAUAAUGGAAGGCGCUGUGCCAACAUAAUGAAAGGCACUGUGCCAGCAUAAUGGAAGGCACUGUGCCAACAUAGUGGAAGGCACUGUGCCAACAUAGUGGAAGGCACUGUGCCAGCAUAGUGGAAGGCACUGUGCCAACAUAGUGGAAGGCACUGUGCCAACAUAGUGUAAGGCACUGUGCCAACAUAGUGGAAGGCACUGUGCCAACAUAGUGGAAGGCACUGUGCCAACAAUAAUAAGCGAUACAAGCUUCUAUAGAUAAAACAUAUAUUUAAAG